rnacentral:rRNA from 1 species
CUGCACGACGUCGAGCGGAGACGAUGGGAGCUUGCUCCCAGGCGUCGAGCGGCGGACGGGUGAGUAAUGCAUAGGAAUCUGCCCGGUAGUGGGGGAUAACCUGGGGAAACUCAGGCUAAUACCGCAUACGUCCUACGGGAGAAAGCAGGGGAUCUUCGGACCUUGCGCUAUCGGAUGAGCCUAUGUCGGAUUAGCUAGUUGGUGAGGUAACGGCUCACCAAGGCCGCGAUCCGUAGCUGGUCUGAGAGGAUGAUCAGCCACAUCGGGACUGAGACACGGCCCGAACUCCUACGGGAGGCAGCAGUGGGGAAUAUUGGACAAUGGGCGAAAGCCUGAUCCAGCCAUGCCGCGUGUGUGAAGAAGGCCCUCGGGUUGUAAAGCACUUUCAGUGAGGAAGAAUGCUUGUGGGUUAAUACCCCGCAAGAAGGACAUCACUCACAGAAGAAGCACCGGCUAACUCCGUGCCAGCAGCCGCGGUAAUACGGAGGGUGCGAGCGUUAAUCGGAAUUACUGGGCGUAAAGCGCGCGUAGGCGGCUUGAUAAGCCGGUUGUGAAAGCCCCGGGCUCAACCUGGGAACGGCAUCCGGAACUGUCAGGCUAGAGUGCAGGAGAGGAAGGUAGAAUUCCCGGUGUAGCGGUGAAAUGCGUAGAGAUCGGGAGGAAUACCAGUGGCGAAGGCGGCCUUCUGGACUGACACUGACGCUGAGGUGCGAAAGCGUGGGUAGCAAAC